rnacentral:sRNA from 1 species
GCCUAGCCCCGAUAGAAGUAAAAAUCCUUGUGAACCGGGGUUCGGUUCACAAGAUUGAAGCGGACAGCGGGACUACUG